rnacentral:rRNA from 1 species
GACGAACGCUGGCGGCGUGCCUAAUACAUGCAAGUAGAACGCUGAAGCUUGGUGCUUGCACCGAGCGGAUGAGUUGCGAACGGGUGAGUAACGCGUAGGUAACCUGCCUGGUAGCGGGGGAUAACUAUUGGAAACGAUAGCUAAUACCGCAUAAAAUGGAUUAUCGCAUAAUAAUCGAUUGAAAGGUGCAAAUGCAUCACUACCAGAUGGACCUGCGUUGUAUUAGCUAGUUGGUGGGGUAACGGCUCACCAAGGCGACGAUACAUAGCCGACCUGAGAGGGUGAUCGGCCACACUGGGACUGAGACACGGCCCAGACUCCUACGGGAGGCAGCAGUAGGGAAUCUUCGGCAAUGGACGGAAGUCUGACCGAGCAACGCCGCGUGAGUGAAGAAGGUUUUCGGAUCGUAAAGCUCUGUUGUAAGAGAAGAACGAGUGUGAGAGUGGAAAGUUCACACUGUGACGGUAUCUUACCAGAAAGGGACGGCUAACUACGUGCCAGCAGCCGCGGUAAUACGUAGGUCCCGAGCGUUGUCCGGAUUUAUUGGGCGUAAAGCGAGCGCAGGCGGUUAGAUAAGUCUGAAGUUAAAGGCUGUGGCUUAACCAUAGUACGCUUUGGAAACUGUUUAACUUGAGUGCAAGAGGGGAGAGUGGAACUCCAUGUGUAGCGGUGAAAUGCGUAGAUAUAUGGAGGAACACCGGUGGCGAAAGCGGCUCUCUGGCUUGUAACUGACGCUGAGGCUCGAAAGCGUGGGGAGCAAACAGG